GUCUGUCAGUGUGUGUAUGUGUCAGUAUGUCUGUUAGUGUGUGUGUCAGCAUGUCUGUCAGUGUGUAUGUGUGUGUGUGUGUCAGUAUAUGUGUUCAUGUGUCAGUAUGUCUGUCAGUAUAUGUGUGUGUCCGUAUGUCUGUCUGUGUGUGUGUGUCUGCAUGUUUGUGUGUGUCAAUAUAUCUGUCAGUCAAUAUAUGUGUGUCAGUAUGUUUGUCUGUGUUUGUAUGUAUCAGUAUGUCUGUCAGUGUAUAUUUUUGUGUAAGUAUGUCUUGCACCUCUCUACUUUAGUUCCCCCACUGCGUUAGGGUGAAAUGUGUGAUUGCACGCCAGGAUGUUGGGGCUAGUGGGGGGG